rnacentral:rRNA from 1 species
UAGGGAAUUUUCGGCAAUGGGGGAAACCCUGACCGAGCGACGCCGCGUGAGUGAAGAAGGCCUUCGGGUUGUAAAGCUCUGUUGUAAGGGAAGAACUGUAUGAGGAGGGAAUGCCUCAUACCUGACGGUACCUUACCAGAAAGCCACGGCUAACUACGUGCCAGCAGCCGCGGUAAUACGUAGGUGGCAAGCGUUAUCCGGAAUUAUUGGGCGUAAAGGGAUCGUAGGCGGUUUAUUAAGUUUGUGGUUAAAGUUCGGGGCUCAACCCCGUGAUGCCAUAGAAACUGGUAGACUUGAGUGCAGAAGAGGUUAGUGGAAUUCCAUGUGUAGCGGUAAAAUGCGUAGAUAUAUGGAGGAACACCAGUGGCGAAGGCGACUAACUGGUCUGUAACUGACGCUGAGGAUCGAAAGCGUGGGGAGCAAAUA